rnacentral:sRNA from 1 species
AAGAGGAUCUGGUCUGAAUAUGACCCUGGGGCCAAGUAUGCCCUCUAUACCCUUACCUAGAAUCCAGGGGACAAUGUACUGCCCUACACAGUCACCUAGCCCCCAAACUUCCGACUGCUGCAUCCCAUUACCCAGUCAAUAGAUGCCCCAAAGUUUCCACUGCCCCGUCCUCUGCCCUCUUUGACUGCCCUCCAGUUCUUCCCUGGAAAGCUCUGGGGUAUUGGUAGGAGGAGGUAGUGAUGAGCUGGUGGGGCCUUGAGAAAGGGCUAGUGGGGGCAUGGCCAAUCCAGUGGUACCUCCCCAACUCCUCCAGGGGCCGCAUCAAACACUUGGAUGUGGUUGCCCUGCUGAGACGUAUCCAGCCCCCUCUGGGAUUCGGGAAGCUGUGCCCACACCGAGUGGCCUGCAAGAGACUUGUGGCAAUGAACAUGCCCCUCAACUCAGAUGGGACGGUGACAUUCAACGCCACACUCUUUGCCCUGGUCCGGACAUCCCUGAAGAUCAAAACAGAAGGGAACCUGGAGCAAGCCAACCAGGAGCUGCGGAUUGUCAUCAAAAAGAUCUGGAAGCGGAUGAAACAGAAGCUGUUAGAUGAGGUCAUCCCCCCACCAGACGAGGAGGAGGUCACCGUGGGCAAAUUCUACGCCACAUUUCUGAUCCAGGACUAUUUCCGCAAAUUCCGGCGGAGGAAAGAAAAAGGGCUACUAGGCAAUG